CCAGACUCCUACGGGAGGCAGCAGUCGGGAAUAUUGCGCAAUGGAGGAAACUCUGACGCAGUGACGCCGCGUGCAGGAAGAAGGUUUUCGGAUUGUAAACUGCUUUAGACAGGGAAGAAACAAGACAGUACCUGUAGAAUAAGCUCCGGCUAACUACGUGCCAGCAGCCGCGGUAAUACGUAGGGAGCAAGCGUUAUCCGGAUUUAUUGGGUGUAAAGGGUGCGUAGACGGGAAAACAAGUUAGUUGUGAAAUCCCUCGGCUUAACUGAGGAACUGCAACUAAAACUAUUUUUCUUGAGUGUUGGAGAGGAAAGUGGAAUUCCUAGUGUAGCGGUGAAAUGCGUAGAUAUUAGGAGGAACACCAGUGGCGAAGGCGACUUUCUGGACAAUAACUGACGUUGAGGCACGAAAGUGUGGGGAGCAAACAGGAUUAGAUACCCCCGUA
rnacentral:rRNA from 1 species